AUGUGCAUGCACACCUCAUGGGCUGGAAGCAGUUGCUGGCCUGGAGGAGUCCAAGGACGAUGCACCACGCUUGCAAGGCCAUCUCGUCCUGCUCUGCCCAACUGGAGCUCAUUCGCCUCUCCCAGGGGGAAACCAGCCUUACUGUCAAAGGCAUGCAGUGAUAACAGACUCCCAGGCUGCUGGCAGAGAGGCAGCCAUCGGGUGAAUUUUCAGCUCGGAGUUCGGAGGAUGCUACCUGUGGGGUUGGUUUGUGGGGUGGGUGAGAAAGGUGGUGAGCGAGCAGAGGUCUCAGGGAGGAGCUGUGUCCUGCCGGAGCAGGCAGGGCACUGGCACCGUUCUCCUUCCUCCAGCAGUGCCAUCUGCAGCUGCUCAGCCCAUGCACUGUGCCAUCACGAGCUGCAAUGCUCUUCCUCUGCGUGCGCUUCCCCAGGACAGUCCUCACAGGAUAACAGGAUCUUCUUGUCAAUGACAUUCUUGCCUUGGCCAAAUUGGUCGACAAAAGCUCCUGAAGGAGAUAGCCUGAGGGGAAAUCCCAUACCUGUGAGGGCAUUUCAGUCUUCUCAUCCUGACCCAUCUCCAGCAUCUGUCAUCUCCUGGGAUUGAGAGCUGGUCGGGGAAAUAGGAAAUGAGAUGGACUAAAUGCUAACUAUGAAGAACACAAAGGCAAAAUAACAACUGGAGUAAUGAGAGAAGGCUGGUACUGGCUGGACAAAGAAACUGAAAUGAGGAAGCCUUUGGGACCAUGGGUAAUUAGGGUCUCAGAGGCAGACUAGGGAAAGGGUACAGUUGUGAGACAGGGCUUGGCAUUUGUUUGCUGAAAAGAUGAAGGACAAGGAUUUGUGGCAUAAUGUGGGGAGGUGGUUGCUUGGCAACCUUAAUUCAGUCCCCUUAUGAUACAUGUGUGAUCACAUAUUGUUUUUAUGCAGGAUUUCUGGCUCAAGUGUUGUGCAGGAUGGACCUGCUCAGGGGACACAGUAGGGCUGUGCAAGAAAGGCAGGUGAUGCCUGUAUGACUCCUGACUCAUUUAUUGCUUGAACUGAAAAGUAGUUAAUGAAUGAAGAAGGGUAAAGGAAGGCCAUGUGACCUAAUUGUGCACUGUUGCACAGGACUUUUCCUGUCUAUUGCUAAUAUAGCCCCUUAAAACAGUUUGGUGUUCUAUUUAUUUAUUUAUUUAUCAAUCUCUGUAUGUGGAACCUCCCAUAGUCUAAUAGCUUCUAAUUAUCUAAUUUUAAUGACCAUAGUUAGAGUCUCAAAUCCAAUUUGCUCAACACUCACACCUGUGACUGGUGCUGCAACUUCUGUGUUUGAAAUAUUGUUAAAUACUUUCAAAUUACAUCUUUGAUGCAUCAGAUAGGACAUGUAAAAUUAGUGAAUACCUUCUUCCUUAGUCUUUCUCUGCCUCUUCUUCCUUUAUUUUAGACAGCAAUGCUUCCUUUUCUUUGCCACCAUGUAUUUUUAUGAAGCUAAAUUAAUUUGCAUUUCUGCAGCACUCAGAUGUUGAAGUGAUGAGCACCAUUGAGAAGCCCUGGAGGAAAUUAAUAAUUCUUCCAUCAUAACACAAUUGAAUAAUGGGCAGUAAACAAAGCAUGGGCCACACAAUGAGUUAUGAGGUAAAAGCAAAAUAUUGAUUAGCUGUUUGUUGAAUGAAGCAGUGGUCCUGUGAAAAAAUAGUGAUUAAAGAUUGUGUCAAAACACAUAGGCACAAGAGAUUAUUAUCACCCUUCUACAGGAGAGAUUGCCAGGAGGGAGAUUAAAUGAUAUACUGAUGCCCCAUGUGUCUUUUCCUGUCCCUUGGGCGGGGUUGUUUGUUUUGUCUAGUAGGGAGUUUCAGGUUUAUGACGAGUGCUUUAAUGGCUAUACUCCUAUUUGAAAUGGGUUGGGUCCAUGAGGGUGCUUUGUGCUGAGAGUAGAAUGCAAUGGAGUCUUUUGAGGUUCUUUUCUCUUGCGGGAAUUUGCUCCCCAGUAUGCCUUUUACAUAGUCACUGCCUCCAAGUAUUAUAGUUGGGUACAGUAAGGGUAAAUAUUGCUUAGGCAGUGCUUCAGCUGAUGCCAUGGAAGGCAAAGCAUUAACAGUUUGUGGGUGGCUGGAGGCUAGAUAAAUACCUUUAAUGAUACUGCUUGCAAGGAAAAGGACUAUAGGAAGAGAUAAUGCAGGUAGCAAGCUACUGGCUUAUUAAUUCACAGCAAAAGUUGUUCACAGAGAAUAAAGAAAUGUUUCAUUUUUUAUUAAUCUUUCA
rnacentral:lncRNA from 1 species